rnacentral:rRNA from 1 species
UCUGANUGAGUGCAGAAGGGGAGAGNGGAAUUCCAUGUGUAGCGGUGAAAUGCGUAGAUAUAUGGAGGAACACCAGUGGCGAAAGCGGCUCUNUGGUCUGUCACUGACGCUGAGGCUNGAAAGCGUGGGUAGCGAACAGGAUUAGAUACCCUGGUAGUCCACGCCGUAAACGAUGAGUGCUAGGUGUUAGGCCCNUUCCGGGGCUUAGUGCCGGAGCUAACGCAAUAAGCACUCCGCCUGGGGAGUACGACCGCAAGGUUGAAACUCAAAGGAAUUGACGGGGGCCCGCACAAGCGGUGGAGCAUGUGGUUUAAUUCGAAGCAACGCGAGGAACCUUACCAGGUCUUGACAUCCCGAUGCUAUUCUUAGAGAUAGGAAGUUACUUCGGUACAUCGGAGACAGGUGGUGCAUGGUUGUCGUCAGCUCGUGUCGUGAGAUGUUGGGUUAAGUCCCGCAACGAGCGCAACCCUUAUUGUCAGUUGCCAUCAUUAAGUUGGGCACUCUAGCGAGACUGCCGGUAAUAAACCGGAGGAAGGUGGGGAUGACGUCAAAUCAUCAUGCCCCUUAUGACCUGGGCUACACACGUGCUACAAUGGUCGGUACAACGAGUUGCGAGCCGGUGACGGCAAGCUAAUCUCUGAAAGCCGAUCUCAGUUCGGAUUGGAGGCUGCAACUCGCCUCCAUGAAGUCGGAAUCGCUAGUAAUCGCGGAUCAGCACGCCGCGGUGAAUACGUUCCCGGGCCUUGUACACACCGCCCGUCACACCACGAGAGUUUGUAACACCCGAAGUCGGUGAGGUANCCUUUAGGG